GGGUCCGCGUUCCAUUAGCUAGUUGGUAGGGUAAUGGCCUACCAAGGCAACGAUGAGUAGCUGGUCUGAGAGGAUGAUCAGCCACACUGGAACUGAAACACGGUCCAGACUCCUACGGGAGGCAGCAGUGGGGAAUAUUGCGCAAUGGGCGAAAGCCUGACGCAGCAACGCCGUGUGAGGGAUGAAGGCUUUCGGGUCGUAAACCUCUGUCGGAAGGGAAGAACGGGCAUUGGUCUAAUAGGCCUUUGUUUUGACGGUACCUUUAGAGGAAGCACCGGCUAACUCCGUGCCAGCAGCCGCGGUAAUACGGAGGGUGCAAGCGUUAUUCGGAAUUACUGGGCGUAAAGCGCACGUAGGCCGCUUUGUAAGUCAGGGGUGAAAUCCCACGGCUCAACCGUGGAACUGCCCUUGAAACUGCAGAGCUUGAAUCCUGGAGAGGGUGGCGGAAUUCCUGGUGUAGGAGUGAAAUCCGUAGAUAUCAGGAGGAACACCGGUGGCGA
rnacentral:rRNA from 1 species